AUUGAACGCUGGCGGCAGGCCUAACACAUGCAAGUCGAGCGGAUGAAGGGAGCUUGCUCCUGGAUUCAGCGGCGGACGGGUGAGUAAUGCCUAGGAAUCUGCCUGGUCGUGGGGGAUAACGUCCGGAAACGGGCGCUAAUACCGCAUACGUCCUGAGGGAGAAAGUGGGGGAUCUUCGGACCUCACGCUAUCAGAUGAGCCUAGGUCGGAUUAGCUAGUUGGUGGGGUAAAGGCCUACCAAGGCGACGAUCCGUAACUGGUCUGAGAGGAUGAUCAGUCACACUGGAACUGAGACGCGGUCCUGACUCCUACGGGAGGCAGCAGUGGGGAAUAUUGGACAAUGGGGGAAAGCCUGAUCCAGCCAUGCCGCGUGUGUGAAGAAGGUCUUCGGAUUGUAAAGCACUUUAAGUUGGGAGGAAGGGCAGUAAGUUAAUACCUUGCUGUUGUGACGUUACCAACAGAAUAAGCACCGGCUAACUUCGUG
rnacentral:rRNA from 1 species